rnacentral:rRNA from 1 species
UUAUCAAAACAGCGGACUUCGGUCCUUGCUGCACCCUUGUCUUUUGCGUACCGUAUGUUUCCUCGGCGGGCUUGCCUGCCGGUUGGACAUUAUCAAACCUUUUUGUAGUUGCAAUCAGCGUCAGAAAAUAAACAAUAAUUACAACUUUCAACAACGGAUCUCUUGGUUCUGGCAUCGAUGAAGAACGCAGCGAAAUGCGAAAAGUAGUGUGAAUUGCAGAAUUCAGUGAAUCAUCGAAUCUUUGAACGCACAUUGCGCCCCUUGGUAUUCCAUGGGGCAUGCCUGUUCGAGCGUCAUUUUGUACCCUCAAGCACUGCUUGGUGUUGGGCGUUUGUCCUGCAAAGGACUCGCCUGAAAGCGAUUGGCGGCCAACGUACUGGUGGUAGAGCGCAGCACAAUUUGCGUCUCUCCCUUCUACGUUAGCGUCCAUGAAGCCUUUUUCAAACGUUUGACCUCGGAUCAGGUAGGGAUACCCGCUGAACUUAAGCAUAUCAAUAAGCGGAGGAAAAGAAACCAACAGGGAUUGCCCUAGUAACGGCGAGUGAAGCGGCAUCAGCUCAAAUUUGAAAUCUGGCUCUUUCAGAGUCCGAGUUGUAAUUUGCAGAGGGCGCUUUGGUGUCGGCAGCG